rnacentral:rRNA from 1 species
GAGGAAUAAGCAUCGGCUAACUCCGUGCCAGCAGCCGCGGUAAUACGGAGGAUGCAAGCGUUAUCCGGAAUCAUUGGGCGUAAAGCGUCCUGAGGUGGUUUGUCCAGUCUACUGUGAAAGCUCAGGGCUUAACCUUGAAAAUGCGGUAGAAACUAGCAAGCUAGAGUACAGUAGGGGCAGAGGGAAUUCCCGGUGUAGCGGUGAAAUGCAUAGAUAUCGGGAAGAACACCAAUGGCGAAAGCACUCUGCUGGGCUGAUACUGACACUGAAAGACGAAAGCUAGGGGAGCAAAAGGGAUUAGAUACCCCUGUAGUCCUAGCCGUAAACGAUGGACACUAAGUGGUGCGCGACCUAAAACGUGCAGUGCUGUAGCUAACGCGUUAAGUGUCCCGCCUGGGGAGUAUGCUCGCAAGAGUGAAACUCAAAGGAAUUGGCGGGGGCCCGCACAAGCGGUGGAGCAUGUGGUUUAAUUCGAUGCAACGCGAAGAACCUUACCAGGGCUUGACAUGCCAUUGAUCUCUCUGAAAGGAGAGAGUACCCGUAAGGGAUUUGGACACAGGUGGUGCAUGGCUGUCGUCAGCUCGUGUCGUGGGAUGUUGGGUUAAGUCCCGCAACGAGCGCAACCCUUGUCUUUAGUUACUUUUCAAACUAGAGAGACUGCCGGUGAUAAGCCGGAGGAAGGUGAGGAUGACGUCAAGUCAGCAUGCCCCUUAUGUCCUGGGCUACACACGUGCUACAAUGGCCGGGACAAAGAGAUGCAACCCCGCGAGGGUACGCUAACCUCAAAAACCCGGUCUCAGUUCGGAUUGCAGGCUGCAACUCGCCUACGUGAAG